GAUUGAACGCUGGCGGCAGGCCUGACACAUGCAAGUCGAGCGGAUGAAGGGAGCUUGCUCCUGGAUUCAGCGGCGGACGGGUGAGUAAUGCCUAGGAAUCUGCCUGGUAGUGGGGGAUAACGUCCGGAAACGGGCGCUAAUACCGCAUACGUCCUGAGGGAGAAAGUGGGGGAUCUUCGGACCUCACGCUAUCAGAUGAGCCUAGGUCGGAUUAGCUAGUUGGUGGGGUAAAGGCCUACCAAGGCGACGAUCCGUAACUGGUCUGAGAGGAUGAUCAGUCACACUGGAACUGAGACACGGUCCAGACUCCUACGGGAGGCAGCAGUGGGGAAUAUUGGACAAUGGGCGAAAGCCUGAUCCAGCCAUGCCGCGUGUGUGAAGAAGGUCUUCGGAUUGUAAAGCACUUUAAGUUGGGAGGAAGGGCAGUAAGUUAAUACCUUGCUGUUUUGACGUUACCAACAGAAUAAGCACCGGCUAACUUCGUG
rnacentral:rRNA from 1 species